ensembl:snoRNA SNORA48 small nucleolar RNA, H/ACA box 48
UGUCCCUGACCUGGGUAGAGUGGCAUCUGGUUGGUGAUGCCCAUCUCAUAUCAGCCAGGGACAAAGCAACUCCUUGUUCAUCCCAGCUUGGCUUUUGAUCCGUGCCCAUGCCUGGUUCAUGCCUUGGACACAUAG